CACGCCCACAGCAACCGUACGGAGUCGCCGUUGCCAAAGUGCCAUUGCCAAAGUCGAGACAAAUCAACUAGGUGCUGAUUUUGGCAAAACGUGACCGGACCUAUCACAGGAACCAGACAGGAUAUCGAAAACGCGUGCGAAACUCAGCCCAAGUAUAGUUCAGGUAUGGCGUGUGAUCUCUGCCAAAACUCCCACAACGCAAACAGACAUGGCGAAUGUGAAGCUUCACUCCGAGACUUGCUGGCAUUUUUUACAGGAGCCGAAGAGAUCCCUCCACUAGAGCUGUUUUCUGCUCCUUCACUGCAUUUCAACAGAGAUGAAGUUUUCCCAAACUGCCUCUACAUGUGCCAUAGAAUUGGUUCUCCCAACGCAAUACAGUGACUACGAAGUGUUCAAACAGAAAAUGGCAAUGGCCAUUCUCAGUAAUGGAGGCUUUGGAAAGGAAUGACAUGAAGCAGCCCGCUGGGCUGGGUAGGGUUAGGUACAGUUACAGUUAGCGUUACUAUGUGGUGUUUACUAGGAUGUAAUGUUGCAUGGAUUGUUGUGUUCAGGAGGUAAGAAAUAGGCAAGUGUUGCAAAUACACAUACUAUACAGUGUAUCUA